CCUACGGGAGGCAGCAGUGGGGGAUAUUGCACAAUGGGGGGAACCCUGAUGCAGCGACGCCGCGUGGGUGAAGAAGCGCCUCGGCGCGUAAAGCCCUGUCAGCAGGGAAGAAAAUGACGGUACCUGAAGAAGAAGCCCCGGCUAACUACGUGCCAGCAGCCGCGGUAAUACGUAGGGGGCAAGCGUUAUCCGGAUUUACUGGGUGUAAAGGGGGCGCAGACGGCGAUGCAAGCCAGGAGUGAAAGCCCGGGGCCCAACCCCGGGACUGCUCUUGGAACUGCGUGGCUGGAGUGCAGGAGGGGCAGGCGGGAUUGCUGGUGUAGGGGUGGAAUGCGUAGAUAUCAGGAGGAACACCCGUGGCGAAGGCGGCCUGCUGGACUGCAACUGACGUUGAGGCCCGAAAGCGUGGGGAGCAAACAGGAUUAGAUACCCGUGUAGUC
rnacentral:rRNA from 1 species